rnacentral:rRNA from 1 species
GGCACCUGCACAGGUGCUGCAUGGCUGUCGUCAGCUCGUGUCGUGAGAUGUUGGGUUAAGUCCCGCAACGAGCGCAACCCUUAUCCCCAGUUGCCAUCAGGUAAAGCUGGGAACUCUGGGGAGACUGCCGGUGAUAAACCGGAGGAAGGCGGGGAUGACGUCAAGUCCUCAUGGCCCUUACAUCCCGGGCUACACACGUGCUACAAUGGCAGGUACAGAGGGCUGCGAAGCCGCGAGGUGGAGCGAAUCCCAGAAAACCUGUCUCAGUCCGGAUUGAAGUCUGCAACUCGACUUCAUGAAGGCGGAAUCGCUAGUAACCGCGAAUCAGCAGGUCGCGGUGAAUACGUUCCCGGGCCUU